CCUUGUUGGUCACUAGCUCAUCUGAUAUGGAUGACUCUUGAGUUUUCUUUUUUUUACCCACAUCUAUCGUUCCUGAGUUUUCUUUUUUAUUUAUCAAAGCUGGAUUCUACCAUAAGAAGAUUAAGUUUCCUCCGGAAUACCCAUUCAAACCACCAGGCAUCAGGUAUUAUUUAAGAACAACACAAGCAGAGAAAAAAAUAUGCCAGAAGGGAGGAGAGAUUAGCUCAGGAUAUGUGUUGACAACCUCCUACUCAAGAAUGGAAUGAUAAAGUUUUACAUGAAAAUGAAUGGAGGUGCCACCACAUCUUUAUGGGUCUCAGAAAAAGCGUUAGUGGUUCUUAGGUAGACGAUUCUAGUUGUAUGUGCUAUACAAGCUGAUGCACCUUGUGGUCCUUGUCUUGUCUUUGGAUUUUUGUAAAUGUGUACAUGUUUGUACACCAGUGUAAACUAAGAUUUAAAAAAAAUAUAUGAGAAUCAUAUAGUCAUAUGGGUACUCUUUUUAUAGAUCUUAGAAAGAGCAUUCCGAAUAUAUGCGAAUUUU